rnacentral:rRNA from 1 species
AACGAACGCUGGCGGCAUGCCUAACACAUGCAAGUCGUACGAGACCUUCGGCUCUAGUGGCGCACGGGUGCGUAACGCGUGGGAACCUGCUCAUGGACUUGGAAUAAAUCCACGAAAGGGGUGCUAAUACCGCAUAAUACCUUCGGACCAAAGAGUUAUCGCCUUUGGGUGGGCCCGCGUUGGAUUAGCUGGGUGGUAGGGUAAAAGCCUACCAAGGCGACGAUCCAUAGCUGGCCGGAGAGGAUGAUCAGCCAGACUGGGACUGAGACACGGCCCAGACUCCUACGGGAGGCAGCAGUGGGGAAUGUUGGACAGUGGGCGAAAGCCUGAUCCAGCAAUGCCGCGUGGAUGAUGAAGGCCUUAGGGUUGUAAAGCUCUAUUACCCGGGAUGAUAGUGACAGUACCGGGAGAAUAAGCUCCGGCUAACUCCGUG